rnacentral:rRNA from 1 species
UACAGAGGUCUCAAGCGUUGUUCGGAUUCAUUGGGCGUAAAGGGUGCGUAGGCGGCGCGGUAAGUCGGGUGUGAAAUCUCGGAGCUUAACUCCGAAACUGCAUUCGAUACUGCCGUGCUUGAGGACUGGAGAGGAGACUGGAAUUUACGGUGUAGCGGUGAAAUGCGUAGAUAUCGUAAGGAAGACCAGUGGCGAAGGCGGGUCUCUGGACAGUUCCAUGACGCUGAGGCACGAAGGCCAGGGGAGCAAACGGG